rnacentral:rRNA from 1 species
AGAUGAGCCUAGGUCGGAUUAGCUAGUUGGUGAGGUAAUGGCUCACCAAGGCGACGAUCCGUAACUGGUCUGAGAGGAUGAUCAGUCACACUGGAACCUGAGACACGGUCCAGACUCCUACGGGAGGCAGCAGUGGGGAAUAUUGGACAAAUGGGCGAAAGCCUGAUCCAGCCAUGCCGCGUGUGUCGAAGAAAGGUCUUCGGGAUUGUAAAAGCACUUUAAGUUGGGAGGAAGGGUUGUAGAUUAAUACUCUGCAAUUUUGACGUUACCGACAGAAUAAGCACCGGCUAACUCUGUGC